rnacentral:snoRNA from 1 species
CCGCAGCCAAUUAAGCCGACCAGCCCCCCUGGCUCCGUGGGGGGAUGGUGCGCAAUGGCUGCGCACAGCAAGCCCCCUGGUUGUGUACGUGCUCCGUUCCUCCGUACGCAGCACCUUAAGGGACCUCGGGGACAAAG